GGCCUGAUGGUCUAGUAGUAUGAUUCCUUGUUAGGGCUUGAGUCCAAGUCGAGGAGGUCCCAGGUUCAAUUCCUGGUUAGGCCC